rnacentral:rRNA from 1 species
UACGUAGGGUGCAAGCGUUGUCCGGAAUUAUUGGGCGUAAAGAGCUCGUAGGCGGUCUGUCGCGUCGGCUGUGAAAACCUGGGGCUUAACUCCGGGCCUGCAGCCGAUACGGGCAGACUAGAGUUCGGCAGGGGAGACUGGAAUUCCUGGUGUAGCGGUGAAAUGCGCAGAUAUCAGGAGGAACACCGGUGGCGAAGGCGGGUCUCUGGGCCGAAACUGACGCUGAGGAGCGAAAGCGUGGGGAGCAAACAGG